rnacentral:lncRNA from 1 species
UUUUUUUUUUCUUUUUAAUUCUUUAUUUUUCACGUGCUGCUUUUGACAAAAGGUAGAACAUUUGCAUUCAGUGUAAGCAUUAAGAUAGAUUGACAUUUGCAGGUAUAUAAUGCAGUGGUAAUAUUCCUAGCACGUAUUUUAUGUUUAUGGGGUGAGGCUGGUUGUUUGCUCGGGUGCCAAGUUGUGGUGUAUGUGUGCUGUCUAAGUGUCGUGCACCCUGCCGGGCUGUUUGUUCUCUGCACUUUAGCAUAGUAAUAUGUGUCUGUCGUUCCGGUAGGAAUUGUGUGUCAGCGUCUGUGACUUUCGUUAGAGGGUGUACUCUAUUAGAGGUGUCUAGUGUGUGUGGGGGGGUGCCUACUUGGGGAUCCUAUCUCCUGUCAGGUUCCCUUGAGGGUGGGAGAAGUGCGUCUCUGGAGUUGCUCCAGUGCCCUUGUGUGUGGAGCUUAAGAGUGUGCCGGUAUGCAUUUGACCUGUAUGCGAUAUAUGACCUAUAUCAUAUUAUAACUUUGUAGGUGUAGAUUGAGCCAAACUAACAGACAAUAAGUCAUUUUGAAUCUAAACAAAACAGAACAGACAAAUCGAUAACUUGUAAGCGGGGUGCUUAUAACUUAAGAGUCCUCACUCAACAGUGUGGUACAUCUUUAUAUUGGUUAAUACAGUUCUUUCAGGUUGGGGCCGCUGGGCGUUCGUUACCUCUCGGGGUAAAGGGCACUGAUCUCUCCGGGUCCUAGGCGUGUGAGCAUGAGGUAGUUGCUGUCUCCGCGUCCGGCGCGGGAAGUCACAGAGCUUGUAGGUAUAGGGUUGCAUCUUUUAGUGUGGACAGUCUCUUCGUGCUCCCAUCUUUGGACUAGUAGAGUGCAUGGCAGUGCCCACAGGUAUUCUAUGCCAGCAUUGCGUAAUUGGCUGGUCGCAGGGCCCAUCGAUUGGCGCCAUAGCAUUGUGGUGCAGGUGAUGUCUUGGUAGAAUGUUAGUUGCGCGGCUUCAAAGUUGAGCGGGGUUUUGCCCCGGACUGUGGUCAUCACUUGGAUUUUAUCGGUGGUCGAGUGGCAUUGGACUAUAACGUCCUGCGGGGCUCCUGGUGGUGCUUGCCUCGGCUUCGGGAUACAGAAGAAGCCUUCAAAGGGGAGUUUCAUUGCUUGUGUGUGUGGCAUUAUUGAAGUGGUGAGCCUCCUGAUGUAAUAGGGCAAUUCCAUUAGGCUUACAGAGUCGGGGAUGCCCCUUAUCUUAAUAUUUAUCCGCAUGUGGCGGUCCUCUGCCUGGUCCGCUCUAGCUAGAAGCGGGGUCUGGGAAGUUUGUAGUUGAUACAGGGUUUCUUUCAGGCCCUGUACCUCCUGUUUUAGAUCCAGGAUGUCUUCUUCAGAGGCCUGAGUACAUGCCGUAAUUUCCGUUUUGAGUAGGUCCAAGUCUGCGGCAUGCAGCUGCCUCAUUUCGUGUCCUGUUUUGUGGCUGGAGUUUGUUAAGGUCCCGGUACCUGCUCCGCUGUGUGCAGUUUGGUAUGUGUGGUGGCUGUGGGCCUCUCUUCAAGUCCCUCGUGUUUACUCGGGCCCUCGGGUUGCCCCUGCGCCACCUUUGUGAUAGUUGGGCGCUGUAGCAUUGCGCCUAUAUCCUGAGUGUCUUUGUUUGUGUUCAGUGGUGUCUUUUGUGUUUUUCUGCCCAUGGCUUCGGUGGUCCGUGGGGGGUGCAGGGUCUGGUGUGGAGGGGAGUAUAGUUAUGAUUCUGGCCACUUCGGUAAUUCCCACGUUGACUGUGUGUUGCGAAGCUUGGAGUAGGCCCCAGGCAUCCAACGUAUUUUCCUGCUGGGUUGCGGGAAUAAGAAAGGCAUCAGGUUGUAGCUACCCUCCAAGUGUAUCAAGGUGGAUAGUUUGCACUUUCAGUAGUGUAUUUAGAGUAUUGUUUUGUCCCGUCUUUUGUUCUCCUUUGCCAGAGCUUUAAUCUGUUGCGGCCAUUCCAUUUGAGCGCUAGGCUCCGCCCCGAAACAAAGUGAUUUAACUCCUAAAUGACAGUGAAUUGAGCAGUGAAAUUGCAGGGGAAUGAUCUAUACACUAAAACUGCUUUAUUUAGCUAAAGUAAUUUAGGUGACUACAGUGUUCCUUUAAUUGCAGAACUCAGAAAGAAGGGCAUAGCCAUUUACCACUACUUAGACGACAUCCUUAUACUGGCAGAAAAAUGACACCCUUCGGAUCCAUGGGCAAAUCCUUAUGCUUUUCCUUUAACUUCAUGGAUGGAAGAUCAACAUGGAGAAAAGUCAUCUACAACCAUCUUAGAACAUGAAUUAUUUGUGAGACAUGUUCAAUACACUCAAAGGAACAGUCCAGCUUUCUCCAUAAAAGAGGUACAAAUCUGAUAAGGAAAGUCAGAAAAUGUUUGGCGUCCAAUGUAACUUCAGCUGAGAAAUGCACGAGUCUUCUAGGUUCAAUGUCCUCAACCAUAGGUCUCACAAGAUGGGCACAAUGGAGGACGAGAACAUUUCAGAAAAUUUUUAUUCACCAAUUCAGAACUGGAAACCUACAACAGCCAAUCAACAUUCCUCCUUAGGUUCAUCAGUCCCUGAUGUAGUGGCUUCACAAAAAGUUCCUGUCCAGUGGAUUCCCCCUGGGGAACAUCCCUUGGACUGUUAUAACUAUGGAUGCGAGUCAAUGGGGAUGGGGAGCUCAUCUUCAAAACCAUUUCAUACAAAGAAAAUGGUAUCUCCCAGCAACAAACACUCUCUCCAACCUCUUAGAGCUCAUAGUGGCACUCAAAGCUCUGAAAUAUUUCCUUCCACUGCUCCUCCCCAAAUGGGUCAAAAUCAGAACAAACAACACAACAAUAGUUGCCUAUAUGAACCAUCAAGGAGGAAUCAGGUGUCAAAGGAUGAUGGUGAUAAUGAGACCACUGUCAUUAACGCAGAUACAUCUAGCAGGUAUAUCUGCAGUUCAUCUUCCCGGAAUACAGAAUUAGAUAGCCGACUACCUAAGCAGAGUGGAAUUAGACCCAGGAGAAUGGAUUUGAUCAGUCUGUUCAAGAUGAGAACAGAGAGAUGAGGAAUACCACAAGUAGACCUAAUGGCAACAAACAAGAAUAGAAAAGUACAUUUUCUUCUCCAAAAGUAUCGACCCACAGGCAAUAGGAAGAGAUGCUCUGUCAAGCGAAUGGCUAUUCAACCUAGGAUAUGCAUUCCCUCCUACUCCACUCAUCUUUCCACUUCUGAAACGGUUGAGACAAGAGAAAGUAUCCAUCAUUCACAUAGCUCCUUUUUGGCCACGCAGACCAUGGUUUCCUCUACUGUUGAGUCUCUGCAAAGCAAAACCUUGGCAGCUUCCAAAGAUUCCUUCUCUACUACAAGGCGGCCUAGUUCUCCAUCCAGAUCCGGCCUCCCCCAAUCUGAUGGUGUGGAAUUUGAAAGGGAAGGGUUAAAAGAAAAAGGGUUUUCUGAAUCGGUAGUCAAUACUCCGUUGCAGGCUAGGGAGCGCUCUACUUCCACCACAUAUUACAGAAUCUGGGAUGUCUUUUCCCCAUGGGAAACGUCUAAACAGAUGGUCAGACAGCCUCUACUAAAGAUAUUCUGGAAUUCCUGCAACUAGGACUUGAUAAAGAUUAAGGCUAUAAUACCUUAAAGCUCUUUCGGCCCUUACUGACCACAAAUGGGCCUUUGACACAGAUGUGACCAGAUUCAUGUCAGCAGUUCUAAAGAUAAAGCCUCCUAUUAAGCCUUUUGCAUCUCCAUGGGACUUACCGCUGGUUUUAAAAGCCCUGAGUUGUCACCCUUUUGAACCUCUAGAAUUGGUUUCUCCUCAUUUACUCACCAUAAAGACAGUUCUAUUGGUGGCCUUAGCUUCGGGUAGAAGGGUGUCCAAACUCCAUGCCCUAUCUGCUAAAGAACACUUCACAGUCUUCUACAAAGAUAGAGUAAUCUUAAUAAAAGUUCCAGAAUUUCAACCAAAAAUUAUCUUAGCCUUUCACAUUAACAAAGAGAUAGUUCUCCCAGCACUGCAUUCAGAGGAACUAGAUAACGGAGAAGUAUCCGAUCCCUCUUCCAUAGAUUUGGUGAGAUGUCUGUUAAUUUAUCUGCAAAGAUCAUCCUUAUGGCGGAUCUCUCAAAGAUUGUUCAUUAUUCCUAACGGGUCCAGGUGAGGCCUUCAAGCAUCCAAAAGCAGCCAUCAGCACAUGGAUCGUAUCUGCUAUCAUCCAAAGCAUCUAAAAUGAAGAUCCCAGAAGGAUCUAAGGCUCACUCUACAAGGUCCCUUUCUUCAUCAUGGGCAGCGGCAGCUAAAGUAUCACUAGAACUUAUUUGGAAAGCAGCCACUUGGUCCUCUACAAACACUUUUAUAAGACAUUACCAAAUAGACAUGAAAGCUAGUCAACUUGAUCAGUUUGGUAAAACUGUUCUUUCUGCAUCAAACGCAAAAGUUUGAUUAUUGCUAUGAUUUCACUUGUGUGGUGUAAUUUCCUUUUCCUAGUCAUAGGUCAUUGCAGCACAAAGAUCCCACCCUGGGAUAUUGCUGGUAACAAGACUUAGGGAUGAGGUACUUGUACCCUUAUUGUUAAUUAGUUUGUGUAUAUUUAGGGAUAGGGAGGAGUUACCCAUUGUUGUGCUGCCAUGGCCUAUGACCACAAAAAGAAAAAAUUACGGUAAGUAUAAAUACAUUUUCAUCUUUCAUGUCAAAGUAGGCCUACCCCAAUUAACAAGAUCAAAUCUGCCAACUGCAAGACCCAGUUAUCCUAUCUGAAGUAGAGGCGAACGUGGGGACUAGGGAUCGACCGAUUAUCGGUAUUUUCAGCAACAUCGGUACCGGCCAAUAGAGAUGCCGAUAAUACAUACCAGGACCGCCGGGCCCAUUACAAGUACGGCGGUGCGGGAGACCGCAGCAAGUGCAUACUUAACUUCCCAGCAGUUCCCUGUGUAAAUCUCACGAGACCCAUGGCCGUCAGAGCGUUGCCACGUGUUACCAUGACAACGCUCCGCCCAGCACGCUAGCCGCGAGAUUUACACAGGGAGCGGAAGGGAGUGUAAGUAAUAAACACUUGCUGCGGGCCCCUUAUGUACUUUCCAUGCCACUGGACCACCAGGAAAUGCUAUAUUUCUCCCCCCACCAAGAAAUAAACAGGGAGAAACACUGCAUAUAAUGCAGGGUUUGUGUAUACAAUGAAUGUGUAGUGUUUUUUUUUUUCUUUUAAACAUACACUACACAAAUACACACGGCAUCCACUACACACACGCACAGCUCCUCUGUCUAAACAGUCUGCAUCCACCACACAUGGCAUGUAUAUUUUGUGCAUUUACCUUAAGAAAUAGCAAAAUGGUAAAUGUACAGAAUAUCGGUGAACGGCCUGAAAAAGUCAAAGAUUAAUCGGUAUCUGCUCAAAAAAAUUAAAUCAGAUCGAUUCUUAGUGGCGACUCUGCCCUAGCCGUGCAAACCCCCAACUAAAUGUGAUGAUUUUCGGCCCAUUUCCCUAUUGAAUUCAGACGUGAAGAUCAAAGCUAAAAUCUAUGCCAAUCAGCCGACUUCCAUUCUCCCUGCAAUUAAUUAUUCAGACCAGGUCAGAUUUAUUAGCGGGAGGCAGGUAGCAGAUGGAACACUUAAAGUUCUCGCACUUUUGUAUAGCAUGCACAAAAUAUCCAACAAUAACCUAAUGUUAUCCGUUGAUGCCGAAAAGGCCUGGAAAAAUGUAACUUCCCACCCAAAUUCACAGCAGUAGCCAAAACAUUAUAUAGCAAUCCUACAGCCAGAGUUUUCAACACCAGCUUUAGUUCUGACCCUUUCCACAUCACAAAUGGGAUGAGGCAAGGAUGCCCCCUGUCCCCACUACUGUACAUAACACUAUAACCGCUUGCGGCUAUGAUUCGGUCUAAAUCAUAUCCAAGGUGUCCGAAUCGGGGACAAAAGCAUGAAAUUGAACCUGUUUGCUGAUGACGUAUUCUUAACCCUCACAAACCCCUCUACAUCACUGCUAGCAUUCCACGAUAUCCUACAUGCUUAUAGCCGAUGCUCCUACUAUAAAUUAAACCUUACCAAAAAAACAAAAACUAUGGGGGUGGGGAUGGAGGAUACCUAUAGGGAGGAACUGCAGAGGGCUUAC